UUCCUAGUGGUCCAGUGGUUAGGACUUGGUGCUUUCACUGAUGAGGCCCAGGUUCAAUCCCUGGUCAGGGAA
rnacentral:tRNA from 1 species